AGGGCCCGCACUGGCAGCUUGGAGGCCGCUUCCUCAGGUUUCCCACGCUGUCCUUUCCUAGCUGACCCUCCCAGGGAGGCUUUCCUUUCCUGGGAGGCUGGCAGAGGAGUGGCACAGAGGACUUUUCUUACAAGCUCAGAGGGGGUCUAUAUAAACCAUCAUGGAGCCGGAGGAUCAACAGUGUGAUGGCAGCACACAGCCCCAGUGAGCCAGUCUUCUUGUCCCCCAGAGGCCCGUCGUGUAGGUGGCAAAGGCAAGAGAACUGCUGUGAUUUCAAGGUCAACCUGGACUACAUAACAGGAUCCUCCUAUUCAGUAACUUUGAGGCUCAGUGGGACAGUGCCUGCUGCAAAAGCAAGAGAUCUUCAGGUUGGAUCCCCAGCAGCCAAGUAAAAAAGCUGGGUGUAGUCACACACAUCUGUAACCUGAGGGACAGAGCCAGGCAGAUCCUGUUAGUUUAUAGCCAGCCGAACUAGCCAACCAGCAAUCACCAAGUUCAGUGAGAGACCCGACUUAAAAAGAAGUCAUCAACGAAAACAUCCAGCUCUGGUCUCCCUGCUCACAUAUGCAAGCUCUCUCUCUCUCUCUCU
rnacentral:lncRNA from 1 species